CGCCUGUUUAUUAAAAACAUUGUUUUUAAGAUUUUAAUUAAAAAUAAAUCCUGCCCAUUGAUUUUAAAAAUUUAAAGGCCGCAGUAUUUUGACUGUGCUAAGGUAGCAUAAUCAUUAGGUUUUUAAUUGAGAUCUUGUUUGAAUGGUUUAAUGAAAUAAAUACUUUAUUAUUUAAAAUAUUGAAUUUUAUUUUUUAGUAAAAAAGCUAAAAUUUUGUUAAGGGACGAGAAGACCCUAUAGAAUUUUAUAUGAAUUAAUAAUUAUUUAAAUUUUUAACAUUUUAAUAAAUAAUAAAUUUAUAUUUUGUUGGGGCGAUAAUUAAAUUUUAAAAACUUUUUAUAUUUUUUUUCAUUAAUUUAUGUUUUGUUGAUCCAUUUUUAAUGAUUAAAAAAUUAAAUUACCUUAGGGAUAACAGCAUAAUAUUAUUAAAGAGUUCUUAUUUUUAAUAUUGUUUAUGACCUCGAUGUUGGAUU
rnacentral:rRNA from 1 species